CCAGAUUUUCUGUUGCCUCCACCAGUUUUGCAAUCUAUACCAACAAAAUCAUUAAAGAGAUCAUUUGAUUUUAAUUUGUCACCUGGAUCAAUUAUUUUAAAACAAUCAAAUAUUUGUUCUGCUUUGUCUGACUCUUUACCUUUACACACAGAGGAACAAUCAACUUCAUAUUCUGAGUCACUGUCUUUGCCUAACUUCUUUUUACCUUCAAAAUCAACUGAAAAGGAACAAUCAAAUUUUUUUACAGGUACACUGUCUUUG
rnacentral:lncRNA from 1 species